UACAGAGGGGGCAAGCGUUAUUCGGAAUUAUUGGGCGUAAAGGGCGCGUAGGCGGCUUGGCAAGUGGAAGGUGAAAUCCCUCGGCUUAACCGAGGAACUGCCUUCCAGACUGCUUUGCUUGAGGCCGGGAGAGGUGAGUGGAAUUCCCAGUGUAGCGGUGAAAUGCGUAGAUAUUGGGAGGAACACCAGUGGCGAAGGCGGCUCACUGGACCGGUUCUGACGCUGAGGCGCGAAAGCUAGGGGAGCAAACGGG
rnacentral:rRNA from 1 species